AAAACGGUCCUUUUCAGGACCACCAAAUGCUUUGCCAAAAAGAAUU
rfam:Anopheles farauti strain FAR1 unplaced genomic scaffold supercont2.6, whole genome shotgun sequence.